CGGGACGUGGGAGCCGCGGACGGGCCGGUGGCGGAGGCACCGUGGGGCGACAGAAUUUCCCAGGUCAAAUAUUCUUACGCAUUGUCCCACUGGUGUGUUUUAGCAGUGCUUAAACUGAGACAGCCUGUGCAGCUGAAAGAUGGUGUUACUUCAUUGGAGGACCAGGCUGGCCAGCAGCAGGGAAGUGUGGAGCACCUGAGUGUUCAGUUUAUCCUGCAGCCCUUUAGUAACAGAAUCAGAAGAAAUGUGAGUAGGGAAUUGUAGGUGACAUGCUGACUGACAGGAAAGAGAGAAGCUGAUGGAGAAGAACCCUAAAACACAAGCUGAUCAAGAGCCCUUCAGGAUAGGGUGAAAGAACUGGGACUGUAUUUCUGAAUGCCCUGAAGAGGAGCAGAGCAGAGCUGGAAGAGGUUUGACCCGAUGGCCUGUCUGUCAGCCAUUCAAACGCACUAGUCAAAGGAUUUGAGCAUGACUGCUACAUCUGUGUCAUGAAGUUGUAGCUGCAGUCAGAGCUUGAGCAAGACUUGGUUAUUAUAAAAGCGACUAUCUAAAUUCAUCACAGCUUAACAAUGGGUCAUGCUGAUCUAAGUUGAGGUUGCCCUCAUUCUUGUCUUCGUUCCCUCUGAAGUCCCACGGUCCUGCCUUCCUUUGAGUUUUUAUAGUGGUGCUUGAGCAGUUGUGUAGUCAGCUGUGAUCCUAUGGGAAACUAGUAUUUCUUUUUCUGUAGGUAAAUAUUUUGGCCAGCUUAACUUCCUGAACUGCCUCACUACAGCAAGUACUAGAGCCAUUGCAAAGGAUGGGGCAGGACAGCACUGCUGUAGGCCUGAGAGGGGGUGAGACUGCAGCAGCUUCAAUUUAUUUGUUUAAGUUGCAGUGGAUCUGCGCAGUGAACUAAAAAUCUUCAAUGCAAAAUAUUUUCACUACAGCACAGGAUGUGAGAAAACUGGAAAUCAACCAAAGUACAGAUCAACAUCUGAGUUCUUUUGAGACCUCAAGAAAAUAUUUUAAGUUAAAAGGAAUACAUUUACAAGAGUUUCUACAUUUUUUAAGAGUUCAGCAUUUUUUUCUCUCCAAAGUUACCAGAAAAUAAGGUAGAAAUUUCUUCAACAUGUAAAUAAAGUUAGGAGUAUCUACUAUGGCAGACAUCUCUGUCAGGACAGCUAGAGAAAUACAGAAAUGUGGCCAGCUAGGUAAAUCUCUACUUCUUAAAGGGGAAAAAAAGUUAGGAGUUCCACAAAGGGGGCAAGGACAGAGCCACAGAGACACUGCAGAGCAACACUUGGCACUGGAAAGAGUCAGUCAAGGGGAAAGUAUGAUUUACAGGGUCAUCUCCACAUGACUUUCACUCCCUUCACAAGACUAAAAGGAAACCCUCAAUCUACCCAUAGGGAUUUUGUAUUUUUCAAUCUUGAUUCCAGGAUCAGAACUGGAAGAAAGAAGCUAGCCUGAAAUAACAGAGAUUUUACAUUCACAGUCAGAUCCCAAACCAUAAAGACCACAAGUCAGCCACAAAUAUAAGUUUAAUAACAAUCAUUUGCAUUCUAUAGAAGAGGGAGUGCUUUUAAAAAAAAAAAAAAGAAUAGAGUGCUUUUAAAG